AGGGCCGCGAGGUAGUUGGCAGAGGCCUCGGGGUCCUCCUGGAAGGGGCCUCAUGACAGAUUCGGACGAGGUGCGGGCUUGGGAGAAGACUAACGCAAAGGCAGAGGGCCAGGCAGAGAGACCGAGGCUGGGUUCGCAGGAAAGGGAUGCCCUGAAGGUUGACCAGGGCCCCUCACAGGACAUCCCAAAGCCAUGGGUGAUUCCAGUCCCCAAAGGGAUCCUGCAGCACAUCUUUGGGACCAGCCAGGUGUUCCAAAGCAUCUGUGAUGUAAAACCAAAGGUCACAGGGUUAACAGUGCCCCUCAAAGUCAGGGAAUACUACUCCAGAGGCCAGCAGUGCUUGGAGCAGGCAGACUGGGAGACAGCUGUGCUGCUCUUCUCCCGCGCACUCCACCUGGACCCACAGCUGGUGGACUUCUACGCCUUACGGGCUGAGGCCUACCUCCAGCUCUGUGACUUCUCCUCGGCCGCCCAGAACCUGCGAAGGGCCUACUCAUUACAGCAGGACAACUGCAAGCACCUGGAGCGCCUCACCUUUGUGCUCUACCUACAGGGACAAUGCCUUUUUGAGCAGUGUGCCUUCCUGGAUGCCCUGAAUGUCUUCUCACAUGCUGCUGAGCUCCAGCCUGAGAAACCAUGCUUCCGUUACCGAUGCAUGGCCUGUCUCCUGGCCCUCAAGCAGCAUCAGGCCUGCCUCACGCUCAUCACCAACGAGCUGAAGCAGGACACCACCAACGCCGAUGUCUACAUCCUCCGGGCCAGACUCUACAACUUUCUCCAGAAGCCCCACCUCUGCUACCGGGAUCUGCACAGCGCCUUGCUGUUGAAUCCCAAGCACCCGCAGGCCAGGAUGCUGCUCCAGAAGAUGGUGGCCCAGGCCCAGCAGGCGCGCCAAGAUGCGGGGAUCCUGGCUGUGCAGGGCAAGCUGCAGCACGCACUGCAGCGGAUCAACCGUGCCAUCGAGAACAACCCUCUGGACCCCAGUCUCUUCCUCUUCCGGGGCACCAUGUACCGACGGCUCCAGGAGUUUGAUGGGGCAGUGGAGGACUUCCUGAAGGUGCUGGACAUGGUGACCGAGGACCAGGAGGACAUGGUACGGCAGGCACAGCGCCAGCUGUUGCUGACCUACAACGACUUUGCCGUGCACUGCUACAGGCAGGGCGCCUACCAGGAGGGCGUGCUGCUGCUGAACAAGGCCCUCCGGGACGAGCAGCAGGAGAAAGGACUCUACAUCAACCGAGGCGAUUGCUUCUUCCAGCUGGGCAACCUGGCCUUUGCCGAGGCGGACUACCAGCAGGCGCUGGCGCUGAGCCCUCAGGACGAGGGCGCCAACACGCGCAUGGGCCUGCUGCAGGAGAAGAUGGGCUUCUGCGAGCAGAGGCGCAGGCAGUUCCAGAAGGCAGAGAACCACUUCUCCACGGCCAUCCGGCACAACCCCCAGAAGGCCCAGUACUACCUGUACCGGGCCAAGAGCCGGCAGCUGCUGCAGAACAUUUUUGGGGCCCGCCAGGAUGUGGCCACUGUCCUGCUCCUCAACCCCAAGCAACCAAAGCUGUCCCUGCUGAUGACCAACCUCUUCCCGGGCAUGUCGGUGGAGGAGGUGCUUAGCACCCAGAUAGCCCACCUGGCCAGGCUGCAGCUGGAGCAGAUGGUGGAGGGCAGCCUGCAGGCCGGCAGCCCACAAGGCAUUGUGGGGAUGCUUAAGCGGCAGGAGUUGGAGCGCCAGAAGGCCUUGGCCCUGCAGCACUCAUGGAAGCAGGGGGAGCCUUUGAUUGCGACCUCCGAGGAGCUGAAGGCCACCCCUGAGAUUCCGCAGGUAAAACCGGGAAGCUCAGAGGGAGAGGCUGAGGCCCCUGAGGAGGAGGAAGAAAAGGAGAAGGAGAAAAAAGAGUUGAAAAAAACCAAGGCGCUAGCAGCCCCUUCAACACAACCGUUCUCACGGCACCAUGCCUGUCUAGCCUGGUCGCUCCCCUUCCUGCCAGGCUUAGCCUCUGCGUGUCCCCACCCCACCCUAACCUGGCACCUUCAAAGACCUCCAAGCUCAAGAGAAUGACCACCGAGGGGCCCAGGGCUGCUGGCUUUCUAGAGGUGCAGCUGCACGGGCCUCCUACCAUCUGAACUACAAAGCCUGUUUCUUGCCAUAGGAGAAAAAAUCAGAGCUCAUACCUAGCAAGGUGGCGUCCCUAUCUGACAGCUACCUUGACCAGACCUCUUCAGCCUCCAGCAUGAGCUUCAGGACCACAAGCACCUCAGAGACUGAGACGUCGGCUAUCUGCCAGGAAUACAGGAGCACCUCAGCCACCGCCGUGACAUUCUCUGACUCGUCACUGUUGAAGAUGCAAUCCUCGGACUCUGGGAACAACAGGGAGGCACUAAGCCAUGGUCCCAGAAAAAUCAAGGCCACCCAGGGCCAGAGGCAGAGCCUUAGCAAGACCGAGGCCACCCAGAGCCAGAGGCGGAACUCCAGCAAGACCAAGGCCACUAUACACAAGAGGAACUCCAGCAAGACCAAGGCCACCCAGAGCCAGAGGCAGAACUCCAGCAAGACCAGGGCCACCCAGGGCCAGGGGCAGAGCUCCAGCAAGACUGAGGCCACUCAGGGCCAGAGGCAGAGCUCCAGCGAGAUUGAGGCCACCCAGGGCCCAAGGCAGGAGCCCAGCAAGACCAAGACCACCCGGAGCCCAAGGCAGAGGCCCAGAAAGGUCAAGGCUGCUCGUGGCCGGAGCUGGAGACCCAGCAAGGUUGAUGCCACCCAGGGCCGAAGCAGGGGACUGCUCCGAAGUUCCACCAAGACUGAGGCUUUCUAUGAAUCAAACUGGAGCCUCAGCAAGACUGAGUAUGCCCAAGGCCAGGGCCAGAGGUCCAGCAAGGCUGAGGGUGCCCAGGGCAAGAGCCAGGGCAUGAGCUCAACUUCCAGCAAGGCCGAGUCCACCUGGGGACCCAGCCCAAGUCUCAGCAAAACUGAGGUUGAUCAGGACCUCACCUACUAUGAAGCUGUCUGAAGGGACCAUCCAGACCCUCCCUUCUUGCUGGCGAGGGGACGAGUUCCACCCACCUCCCCACACUGGCAUUCAGCCAGCUGCCUCCUUCCAGAGCAAUUAAAAGUCUUAGCAACAGUC